rnacentral:rRNA from 1 species
UACGUAGGUGGCAAGCGUUAUCCGGAUUUACUGGGUGUAAAGGGCGAGUAGGCGGGAUUGCAAGUCAGAUGUGAAAACUAUGGGCUCAACCGAUAGAGUGCAUUUGAAACUGCAGUUCUUGAGUGAUGGAGAGGCAGGCGGAAUUCCCGGUGUAGCGGUGGAAUGCGUAGAUAUCGGGAGGAACACCAGUGGCGAAGGCAGCUCACUGGACUGCAACUGACACUGAGGCUCGAAAGUGUGGGUAUCAAACAGG